ACAAUUUGUGGUUUUAAGUGAAGUUAUGUGCUGCUGCCUAGCAACCUCAUGGUAAUGAAAAGACUCUGGGAAGUCACUGCAUCAAUCCUUUGUCAAGAAAUAGUCAUAGCGCUAUAAGAAAUGGACACAGCAAUACAAAGCAAUAGACUCCGAAGGAGACCAGGGAAGGAUAUUAGAAGUACUUUACCGUCAGCGCUACAGGAGAAGGUUAUGGUUCAGGAAGUGCUUGUGCUGGAACAUCAGAACCCCUGCAAGCACCAAUCAGACACAAACUCAUCCACUGUUUGAUAAGCACGUGAAACUCUGGGUCCGAGGGUGUGUGUCGGUGCGUCGGACAGAAGCUUCAGUUGCGAGUCCGUGGGACAACAGGGUGAUACAGCCUUGGCACCACAUGGGAGCAGGAGGUA